rnacentral:rRNA from 1 species
GACGAACGCUGGCGGCGUGCUUAACACAUGCAAGUCGAGCGGUAAGGCCCUUUCGGGGGUACACGAGCGGCGAACGGGUGAGUAACACGUGGGUGACCUGCCCUCAGCUCUGGGAUAAGCCUGGGAAACUGGGUCUAAUACUGGAUAUGACUCCACGGUGCAUGUCGUGGGGUGGAAAGCCUUGUGCGGCUGAGGAUGGGCCCGCGGCCUAUCAGCUUGUUGGUGGGGUGANGGCCUACCAAGGCGACGACGGGUAGCCGGCCUGAGAGGGCGACCGGCCACACUGGGACUGAGACACGGCCCAGACUCCUACGGGAGGCAGCAGUGGGGGAGUCUUGCGCAAUGGGCGAAAGCCUGACGCAGCGACGCCGCGUGAGGGAUGACGGCCUCGGUUGUAACGUACUUCUAC